rnacentral:lncRNA from 1 species
GUUUGGCGAUCAACAAUCUUUUUCAGUAUUAUUAUUAAGUUCCAUUUCAAAUUCUUGAAAUUAAAAACUGAGCAGUCUUGCAAAAAGUGCCCUCAAAAUGUUGUUAUAAUUUCAUGAACGUUUGAAGGGGUUCUGUUAAUUUUUUUCCAUUCGACCCACAUUUCUAAGUAACUUGAAUUUUGAGGGACAUUGUUUUUCAACAUUGAUUAAAUUAUACGUGGGUUACUCUGAAGACAAGUUACUUUACCUUUGCGGCCUUGUAGUUGUGUCCUUUUUUCCCCUUAACGUUGUUUAUCUGGUAAACGAGUUUGUCAUUUCAAAUGUCACAAAAAUCAAUGUGAUAAUGUUUUUAUUGGUUUUUCCAGGAAAUGUUUUCAGUAGUAAAGAAACUGUUUGAUGAAAGUUAUGAAGUGGACGCGGUUCCUAAUAUCUGGAUCAUCAAUAAACAUGAAAUGAAAUACCCCUGUGAGUCUGCUUUAAUGGCUCUGAAAUUAGCGUCCAAAGCCAUCCCAAUGGAGACGAAUUAUGAAAUUGUCAACAUUGAAAUUGUCAAAUCAACCUAUGAAACAUUUGAAGCAGCAUACGAUGACUGUAUUCGCCUAACACGCAAUAGAAAAUCUAAAUCUUCCUCCGAAGGAGAGGAGAGAGGAAGAGGACGGAGGGUGAAGAAAAAAAAAGUUGUAACAGACUACGAAACCAGCGAGGAAGAGGAACCUGAAGUAGUGCCUACACGGAAAGAGAAGAAGAAUGUUGAGACAAAAGAGCUCGGUCCGCCGCCAAAACCCCCCCAACCUAAGCCCUCAACAUGCGAAGGAGAAGUAAAGUCUACUAGCUCAGUAACUCCAACUCCUAAACCUAAUUCGAUUUUAAAUCGGAGAAUUCAUUUGAAAAAAUCAUCGGCUAGAGAUGAAUCGAUCGCUUUGAAAGGCUCCGCUGAACCAUCGCAAUUGGAACAGCCAAUCUCAGAAUCUGCAGAGCAGUCGAGCAAUUAUCAAUUGAGUCCAGAAAUUUCUGAAUUAAAUGGUGACUCAGGUACUUUCAUGUUGUCAGAUGGUCCCUCAGAUCUUGAAUCACCCCGCAAAUCAACACCGAUGGUUAAACAAAAUUUGUUCAAACCGGUGAAAGUGAUCAGAUGCAAACUGGGAAAAAAACUAAACACAAUUGCCCCCUACGCCUCCAAUGCUCUGCAGAGAGGCCAUUAUGCAUACCCUAUGCGCCCUUUCUGGUAA